GACGAACGCUGGCGGCGUGCUUAACACAUGCAAGUCGAACGAAGUGGCGAACGGGUGAGUAAUACGUGGGUACCCUGCCCUCCUGUCUGGGAUAAGCCUUGGAAACGGGGUCUAAUACCGAAUAAAGGGGGAUGGGCCCUGGGUGUAUCAGCGUGUUGGUGGGGUGAGGGCCUACCAAGGCGGUGACGGGUAGCCGGCCGGUGAGGGUGCCCGGAACUAUUGGAACGUAGAUACGGCCCAGACACCUACAGGUGGAAGCUGUGGGGGAGAUGGCACAAUGGGCGAAAGCCUGAUCCAGCGACGCCGAGAGGGGGUUGGAGGCUUUAGGGUUGUAAACCUCUUUGGCUAUCGAGCGGGUAGGUGGAGAAGAAGCGCCGGCUAACUACGUGCCAGCAGCCGCGGUAAUAC
rnacentral:rRNA from 1 species